AUGAGGGACGUCUGGGCACG
rnacentral:misc_RNA from 1 species